rnacentral:rRNA from 1 species
CACACGACUCUCGGCAACGGAUAUCUCGGCUCUCGCAUCGAUGAAGAACGUAGCGAAAUGCGAUACCUGGUGUGAAUUGCAGAAUCCCGCGAACCAUCGAGUCUUUGAACGCAAGUUGCGCCCGAGGUCAUUCGGCCGAGGGCACGCCUGCCUGGGCGUCACGC